GGUGCACCAGGCGCGAAAACUUUACAAUGCCGGCAACGGCGAUAAGGGAACCUCGAGUGCCAGGUUACAAAUCUGGCUGUCGUGAUGCCUAAAAAGCAUUGCAUAGCAAGGGCCGGGCAAGACCGGUGCCAGCCGCCGCGGUAACACCGGCGGCUCGAGUGGUAACCGUUAUUAUUGGGUCUAAAGGGUCUGUAGCCGGCCGGGUAAGUCUCUUGGGAAAUCUGGCAGCUUAACUGUCAGGCUUUCAGGAGAUACUGCCUGGCUCGAGGCCGGGAGAGGUGAGAGGUACUUCAGGGGUAGGGGUGAAAUCUUGUAAUCCUUGAAGGACCACCAGUGGCGAAGGCGUCUCACCAGAACGGACCUGACGGCAAGGGACGAAAGCUAGGGGCACGAACCGGAUUAGAUACCCGGGUAGUCCUAGCCGUAAACGAUACUCGCUAGGUGUUGGCCACGGUGCGACCGUGGUCGGUGCCGUAGGGAAGCCGUGAAGCGAGCCACCCGGGAAGUACGGCCGCAAGGCUGAAACUUAAAGGAAUUGGCGGGGGAGCAC
rnacentral:rRNA from 1 species